CCUACGGGUGGCUGCAGUGAGGAAUAUUGGUCAAUGGACGCAAGUCUGAACCAGCCAUCCCGCGUGCAGGAAGAAGGCGCUAUGCGUUGUAAACUGCUUUUCCAGGGGAAGAAAACCUGCUACGUGUAGUGGCUUGCCGGUACCCUGGGAAUAAGCAUCGGCUAACUCCGUGCCAGCAGCCGCGGUAAUACGGAGGAUGCGGGCGUUAUCCGGAUUUAUUGGGUUUAAAGCGGACCGAGACGGCAGGGUUGAAAACCUGCAGCUUAACUGUAGAACUGCCAUUGAUACUGUCGGACUUGAGUGUGGUCAAGGUAGGCGGAAUGUGUAAUGUAGCGGUGAAAUGCUUAGAUAUUACACAGAACACCGAUUGCGAAGGCAGCUUGCUGGACCAUUACUGACGCUGAUGCACGAAAGCGUGGGGAGCAAACAGGAUUAGAUACCCCAGUAGUC
rnacentral:rRNA from 1 species